CAGAAAGUAUGGCUAAAAGUAUGGUUUGUCUUGAUUAUUGGAGUCUAUAAGCUUUUAUUUUGAAAAAAAUGCUCGUCUCGGUCUUGUUACGUACGUCAUUAACUUACCCUACAAGCUAGCUAAAGUGAUUAAAAAACAAAUGUCUUAGAAGAACAUUUUUGAAAAGGAAAAGACGCCCAAUAAGAAGACAGAUGAAGAGUGUGGAAAAAAACUCCAUUUAAUAUUUGGAGUUUUUUGAAAGGGGAGAACGUGAACAAGAUGAGGUUUGCCAAACACGACUUCCGUUUCCAACACCUUUUUUUGGGAAGCGGGAGUCUCUGUAGUGACCGUGACCAGAAGUAGACCAUAAACAAGCUCACUGCUCCCAUCAAUUCAGCAGGUCCUUAGCGCAAAAAGGGUUUAAACGUUUCAAAUUAUAAAUGGACAGCGGGUGGCGCAAUAUGGAGCCUGGCUAAUGAGUCACCGCGUGAAACGCUGCUACCGAGGAAGAACCGGGCUGUGACGCAGUUCAACGGCUUCUGGACGGAGUAAGGAGCACGUGACGGUCCGUGACGUACGUCAGAAUCCAGCUGUUUCUGUGGAAUGGACACGUGUGCGUCUGACAACACUUCCUGUGAGUAUGCUCCUUUAUGCUAACAGUGCUGCAGUUAAUAAUGUCUUCAUGGAUGCGGAAAUGACAGGUGUGUAACAUUUACACGGUGUGUUCCACCAUGUAAGUGUGGGCGGCACACCUUUUGGCCCAAUUUAUUCGGUUCUGUUAAAUAUUACAUGGGGAACGGUCGAGUGUUCUGCUUGUAACAUGAUGCUGUUAUGAGUUGACAGUGUGGCUGUCAAGAAAAUCAGAAAAGUGACGCGAGGACUGUCAACAGUGUAAAAACUCCAGCCAGAUGCAGGCUGCAUUAAAAAUGAAUUGAGCCCAUGUUUGACAGAGGCAUCUUUGUGUGAAUAUCAAAGCGGGGGCGUGUGUGUGUGUGUGUGUGUGUGUGUGUGUGUGUGUGUGUGCGUGCCUGCACACUCGAGUGCGAGUCUGGCAUGUGGUAAACAAAAGACACAUCAUUAGCACACCGAUCACUACAGGCGGUGCUCUUGCUUGAUUUUUUUUUUUUUUUUUUUUUUUUUUUGUGAACCAUGGCUCCUCACUGAAAACCUACGAGCUAUGACAAGUUGUCAAGUUAAAAGUCGGUCAGAGUGUUGGUGUGGACUCUUGGCAGUAGGUUAAAUUUCUAUUUUCCGUCUUAAUGGGUCAUAGCUGACAACAGUUAUUUGGCCUAGGCUGUGGGACCUCCUGUGCAGAAUGGAGGUCUGUGUUGUACUAGGUCCAAUUUGCUCUUAAAGCAGAAAGUCCUUGAAUAAAUGAGCAGAUUUAAGGCUGUUGUUUAGUUGU
rnacentral:lncRNA from 1 species